UGGAGAAACAAACCCUGGGCGUCGCCAAGGCAAUAGGAAAACCCCGGAGCUUGCGGAGACCCAACGGUUUGAGAUUCUAGAAAGUGUUUGGCGUCAUUGGGAAACACCUGCCGAGGGAGAGAGGCGUUGGAGGAAUCUUGGAAUACAUGAGGUGAUAUUCCUUUUAUUCACGGGAAGUUUUCGGAUUAAACCCUGGGGAUGAAGCCAGGCAGGCAUCGCAGAAGAAAGCUCCUUUAUAACAAGCACUGGUGAUUGUAACUCAUAGAUCGUGAAUAAAAAGAAAGCUGCUCAGGUGCCCGAUUUAUAGGCAAUAGCUCUCUCUUACUUUCUCUUACUGCUUUAAAGGCUCUCCUUUGGGUAUUCCCUGAAAGAUUUUAGCUGGGGAAGAAAUGGUGAAUGGAAUUUCCUAAAAGCUUCUAGAACAGAGAAUGGUAGGACGGCGUAGAAUGGGAGAGAAUUGUAAAUUUGGAGGCCAAACAAGAGAAAACUAUGAAAAUGCUGGCUUGUCAGGCCCUGGAAGCUUCCAAGCAGGCUUGAAUUUCCACACAAGGUUUGAAGCGUGUGUGUCAGAACUUUUGUCUGGGUGGGAAAGAUAAGGAAUGGUAUUUUUGUCCAACCACAUGGGAAGUUCCCCUUCUUGAUUUUUAGAAGCUUUCCUGUCUAUUAUUUAGGAUCCUUUGGAUUUCUCCUGUUUCAUUCUCAACAAGUCCAGUAGGUUUGUGACCAGCCAGCAAGCAGGUCCUCAAAGUAAUUAUGCAUGUUUUUGAAAAGAUAAUCUUACCACGUUAUUUUAUUUCAUUUUAUUUUUUACUGUGACACAUUAUUAUUUGAUCCCUCCGUGGUUCUCAAAGAACAGACCUUUAUUCUGGGAGAACAGGAAGCCAAGGUCCGACAGCUUCUCGUAGGUGAUAACCCCCUACCUAGUGAUAGUUGGAUUUAAAUCUGCCCAAGAUUAACUAGAAUUCAGGUCAACUAGAGGAGGCAGCUUCCAAAUCCUAGACACUUGUCCAUUUGCUGUUUUCCCUUCCUUCAUACCACAUGAGGAUGUAUUAAGGAAACAGCUUUUCAGAUGCUGCAGUGUAAUAUGUCAAAGCUGAUUAUUCCACGUGCCAGCUAUGUAUACUGUGGAGGAUAAAGACAGUCAUUCAGUGGGCUGGGGUGUGUAGAGCGCUUUCCUAGCUUGUGGGAGGCACUGGGUUCAAUUCUCAGCACCACAUAUAAAUAAAUGAAUAAAAUAAAGAUCCAUCAACAUCUUAAAAUAAUUUUUUUUAAAAAACACAAUUAUUUAGAGGUGGGAGUGGUGACACAUGCCUGUAAUCCCAGCAGCUGGGGAGGUUGAAGCAGGAGGAUUGUAAAUUCCAGGCCAGUCUCAGCAAUUUAGUGAGGCUCUAAGCAACUUAGUGAGACCCUAUCUCCAAAUAAAAAUAAAAAGGUCUGAGGAUGUAGCUCAGUGGUUAAGCACCCUUGAGUUCAAUCCCUGGCACCAAAAAAAAAAAAAAAAAAAAGCCAUUCUUAAGUGGCAAAGUCUUAUGACAUUUGACACUUAGGGAUACUGACUCUGGACUUAUGAACACUUGCUCAUUGGAUUUAAUUUUGCUGCUGUUAUGGAUACCCAUGGAAUACUAGUUUGUCACAUAUAGCCUUAACAAUAUCAAACAUGCCCUUUAGAAUCAUUCAUAAGUUACUUUGGUGUAAGAUGGAAGCAAUUACCAGUGAUUCUGUUGGGUAGGAAUUAAAAAGCAAAUUUUAGUCAGGAGCAAGCGUGGUCUUUGUGACAUAGAUACACACAGAGACUAACAGAAUUACAGUAGUCACUGUUUUCCUAUGGCAGGACUGUUUCCAUAGUUACCAGGAUGUGAUAUGGUCAUAUCCUGGACCUUAUGUUUUGAUCUAUUUGAUGAAGCAUGUCUCUUAGGAACUUUUAACUAGUGAGUUGUGACUCACAAAGUUUCUUAAACCCACCUAAGGCAGAGAUGAAUUCCAAAGGAUUUUAGACUAAUAAAGGGCCUUACAAAAUAAACUCUAGCUCCUUGUUGUACAGGUAAAGAAACUGAAAUUUAAUGAUUUGCUCCGAAGUUUUGGUUGGAAGCAGGGCUGGGACAAGGACCCAAGGUUGCUAAUUUGUAAUUUUAGUAAAAUGUCCCCUCCUCCUGCUGCUUCUCUCCCAGUUCCUCUCCCAAAGCAAUGUAUAGUUUUAAAACUCAAGAUUAUUCAUUUUAACUUACGUUAAGACCAAUUAUGAGGAAUUCAAUUCUGAUAUAGUAGACAUUAGGAAAAUAACUUUUCUCACUACUUCAAACGACUUUUGAUGUAAUCCUGCUUUUAUCCACACAAGAAAUGAGAAAGCAAUAAAUUAUUAAAGCCAUGUUGUCUCUUUUUCUUUCUGUUAUGUGUUAAUAUUUACCUAUAAUAAUACUUGAAGGAUUGUCUUGUUCAUGACUUGAAUAAAAUACCAUAUUAUGAUAGUCAAAAUAAUUUUACAGCUAUGUACACAGAGUCUUUAGCCUUUUCUAGGUUGAGCUGAACUGAGUCCAUAAAGCAUAAAAACACCAUCCACUGACCUAGUCUAUUCUACCUUUUCCUGGCCUGGCAUAACCAUUGUUUUUCUUCCUCCAGCAAACUCCAGAGUGAGUUAGACCUGUAUCCCAGGUUCUGGACCGUCUCCUUGUCUUAACAAUAUCAGGAUACAUCAUGAGCUUGUUUUUUGCUGCUGGUAUCUUGUCUCCCACCACACCCACUACCUUUUUCAAAGUUAGAUCAAAGUCUGCUACCCUUAAUUUAGUGUAAAUCAGCCAAUGUUUAUCUGGCCCCCACCAUGAACCUACUUAAUACAAGUCCCCCGCCCUUGCUAAAACUGGAAACUAGAAGUACUCUUACAGAGCAUACACACACGCACAACUAGCUUAAGCUGGGCUGACCCGCUUGCCUGCAUUUUCUCAGCAGUCUCUUAACAAGUAUUUCUAAAUCCACUUUUACUGUCUUUUAGGAAGCCAGGGUGAUAUUGGUAGAAUAUCUUUGUGAUUGUGUCACAAGUAACCCCCCCAUCUUCUCCUAUUAUAGAACAGUGGCCUCCCAUUGCUCCUCUUUCCCUCCCCAAACCACCCCACCCCGUGGUCCUAGGGAUGAACCUGGAGGCUCUGUACUACUGAAUCACAUCUCCAGCCUUUUAUGUUUAAUUCUGAGACAGGUUCUUGCUAAGUUGCUUAGGGCCUCCCUAAAUUCCUGAGGCUGGCUUUGAACUUGUUUUCCUUCAGCCUCGGCCUCCCAGCCAGUAAGAUUACGGUUUAUGUCACCACACCUGGCUCCAGCCCUGUUUAAUUUAUUAUUUUGGGACAAGAUUUUGCUGAAUUGGUCAUGCCUAUCUUGAGCUUGAAAUCCUCCUGCCUCAGCCUCCAGAGGAGCUGGGAUAAUACACCUAACCCUAUUGGUUCUCACAUUGAGCUUCUUCUUUCCCAUGGUCAGUCGGCCUUUUCACAUGUAUUUUCCCUAUCUAUCUACCCCACUCCCUUGGUUUAAUGAACCUGCUAUUCAAUAUUUCAAUAUUAGUUGAGUGAUCUUUUCUCUAGGUAAACUUAUUCCUGCCUGGAUUGUAUCUCCUAGGUUAAUUACAUAUGGUAACGGUAUCAUGCACAUCUUCUUCCUAGAACUUUACAUACAUAUAUUUACAUUGUACAUUAUCUGUCCCUUGUGGUCUGCAAGCUACCUUAAUAUAUGAAUCCUAUUGGUUUAGUUUACAACUGGUCCACAUUAUUGGGUAUCAGGAGCUCAAUAAAUGCAUGCAUCAGGGAAAGAGAAGAUUAUGCUCCCUCCACCUUUUCUCACUAGAACUUCAUACAAAUAAAUAAGCACAUGUCUUUUUAAAAAAUUAUCCAUUCAGAUCCUAGGAGCUUGUUGAGAUAAAUUAUGAUACAUGCACACGCACAAACACUUAUAAGAACUAAUAUUAAAUUUUAUAUGUGUAGACUCAAACUGUUAGAUCUGAAAGAAACUUGAGAAAUCAUAUAAUUUAUAUCCCAUAUUUUUUCUUUCCUUUUUUUUAUGUGUGUGGGUCAGGAUACUAGAAAUGGAACCCUGGAGUGCUCUACCACUGAGCCACUUUUUCAGCCACUUUUAUUUUUUAUUUUGAAACGGUUGCUAAGUUGCCCAGCCUGACCUCAAACUUGUGAUCCUUCUGCCUCAGCCUCCCAAGUAUCUGGGAGUGGUUACAGGUAUGCACCACCUUGCUCAUCUGAAAUCAAAUUCUUUAGCUUACACAAAAGUGAGAAUUUGUGAUAUUUGUCUUUUGGAGCCUGGUUUAUUUCAUAACAUAAUGACCUCAGUUCUGUCCGUUCACCUCCCUUUAUUUUAUAUUUGAGAAGAACUGAGGCCCAAAGUGGUUGAGAGAAUUGCUUGUGAACAAGAGCACUUAAAACUCAGAAUGAGAAUGAAAGUUUCCUAACUCUCAGGUUGAAUCUCAAGUGCAAAUGUUUUACUGCGGACUAAUAAUGAUACACCAGGGGCACAAUGGGACUUAUGGGUUCAAAGAAGUACAACAUUGCAGUGGGUAAGGGGUGUGGACUCUACUCUGUACCAACCAUGUGAUCUCAGGCAAGUUGUUUAACAUCCUUGCCUUAUUUCUUUGGCUGUAUAAAGGGCAUAAUGGUAGCUACCUUAUAGUUAUUGUGUAUUUUAAAGAGUUUAUAUAUGAAAAGAGUUCAAUAAAUUUUAACUUUAAAAAGUUUCAGUGAUAGGGCUAGGGUUGUGGCUCAGUGAUAGAGCGCUUGCCUAGCACGUGUGAGGCACUGGGUUCAAUUCUCAGCACUGCAUGUCCAUCUGCAUGUCCAUUUCCUACAUCUAGGAAAAAAAUAUUCAAAAAAAAGUUUCAGUGAUAGACUAAGGACCCAACUGGGAACUCAGUUGGUAGAGUGCUUGCCUUGCAUACAUAAGGCCCUGAGUUCAAUCCCCAGCGCCACAUACACACACAUCAAAAGGACCCAAUAUAAUUUCUUAUGUAUAGAAUGAAAUCACCUUGUCAAUUUUUUCUUCUAGGGAAAAACAAAUAUAGCAUGCAACUGGGAGGCCCUCUUAGGGCAAUGAAAGGCUGGUUCUAGCAGAUAAGGUUUCAGCAACUGCGCUAGGUAGAGAAAGGCAUAUGAUCGCUUAGUCAAAACAAGUGCUGGGCCACAGAUGCUAGUCGGCGUAACUGAAGCCUGAGAGGUUUGAAAAGUACGCAGAGGGGAAAACAUUUUUAAAGAAAUCUAAAACAGCAUGAAAAUCAUAACAGAGGACAAAAGACUUUAAUGAUGUAAUUAUCUUAUAUUUCUAAGUGAGCUCUUUUAAUGUAAAAUGUUUUCCCAGGGUGUGAGCAUUAAAAAUAGAGUCCUGGGUAGCACCUUUUUAAAUGGCAUGUUCUCUACUAACUUUGAGCACUGUUAUUUCUACUACUUGUAGGUGCUGUUUUAUGUCGGAGGGAAUUACUUAACUGAUGAAUCUUUGUUUCCAACAUGAGGGAGACAAAGUACUUUCUGUGUCCCAUCUGAAUUCUCAAAGAAUCCUUAUAAAAUAAAUUUAGGAAAUAGCUUGAUGUGCUUUAUCUACUGGUAACUUUUCAAGUAAGAAUAAGAGUAAGUGAUUCAUUACCAGUGUUGUAUUGUCAGAGAGAGAACUGAAUUUUGGUCUCUUCCUGCUAGGUGAGUGUCCUAACUAGUGUCUGACAUUGCCACUCUGUGAGGUGUCAGACAAGAGAAACAGAUAAGUCACUUGGCAACCAGGGCAUUAAAAGUUAACAAAAAAAGGAAAAUUCCUCUUCUGCCUGGUGCUCUGUAUACUAAUUAUGAGUUAAAAAGUGAUGUAAUGGCAAAGACUCUGAAACAUGGUGAUUCUAGGUAGGAUGAUGUGCCAAAACUCAGGGUGUUGUGAUCCAUGAUCACUUUGAUAGUAGAAGCAAGGACUUCCAUCACUAUUAGAACACUAAGCAAGUAAGGGCCAGGAAUCUUACCUUGCUAGGGUUUUUCUGCUGUAGAGAAAUAUUUUUAGAACUAAUAGGGAUCUGUGUUCUCAGCUCCAUAUCCAGCUAUAUUAAGCAAAACAACAAUAGGCCAUCCUCAAACAAAAUAUUAUGUCAAAUGUUUUCCAUGUAUGUAAGUAUAUAUAUAUAUAUAUAUAUAUAUAUAUAUAUAUAUAUACACAUACUUUUUAUAUGUGUAUAUAUAUAUACAUAUAAAUAUAUAUCCCUCUUUUCUAAAUUUAUCUAUCUCCUUAGACUUUGUUACAUCUCCAUCUUCUCUCUAAAAAUGGGGGAAGAAUAGAAAAAUAAGUAAAACCCUCAGAUCUCUGAAUCUGAGCUUAAUAAACAUAUCAAUAAGCAACUAACUAUUCAUCAAAUGCCUCCUGAUGUUUAAGAACUUGCAUUAGAAAUUUUGAGGGAAGUGAACUAAUAUUUUUAGUGCCUACGGUAAACAAGUUACUGUGGCUUGGUGCUCAAGAAGUACCCUUAACAGUCUGUAAUUAACUAAUCAUGACUUUUUGUCAUUCCAAAUAUUUCAAAAAGGAAGUAUUUAAUUUGAUUUAUUGUCUAUUGAUGUAUUUGUAUUUUCCAAAGGGUUAGUGGAGGUGAAAUCAUGAUUUUACAAACACUCCAUUAUACCAUUCUUGAAAACCAUAUGUAUUUCCUUUACUGAAGAGAUGGACCAUAAAAGUCAUGGAUGUGAAAGAAUCAUUGUUUUUGAUGGCUUAUAAAGUGAUGGACUGAAUUUCUGUGUACCCUUAAAAAGAAUACAGCAUAACACUUAUUACUACUUGCAUCUCUUGAGAACACAGUGACAUAAGGGAGCUUUGCAGACUGUGCAUUAUAUAAUUUCAUAUAUAAAACUAACAGAAAAGGCAAAAUUGUAGACAGGAAACAGAUCACUGGUUACUGAGAGCCUGGUGUGGGAGCAGAGAUGAACUUCAAAUGGACAUAAAGGAAUUUCAUAGGGUGAUGGAAGUGGUUCUAAAAUUGGAUUGUGGUAGUGGUUGUACAACUAUAUUCAAACUCAUCAAAUCAUAUACCUCAAAUGGAUAAUUUUAUAGUUUUUAAAUUAUCUCAAACACCUUUUUAAAAAUCUAUGGUAUAGAAUCAGACUUAGAUUCCUGGCUCUGCAAUUUUUUUACUUAAUAUAGGCAGGUUAGUUAACCUCUCUGAUAGUCAGGGUCCUUAGGUAAAUAGGAAUAAUACUGUCUACCUCUGGGUUGUUGGGAAGGUUAAACAGGGUAGUGUAUGUAAAGCGCUUGCUACAUAAUGGGUGCUUAGUAUAUGAUAGUUCUCUUCCUUUCCCAGAGAUGUUUAAUGAGUGUUUAAUUAUAUGUGUUGUCCACUGAUGUCUUUGAUGUCCUUAAAUGGGGUGGGAGCCACUGUAGCAUCUUCUGACUUCCUUUCACUAGACCUUGAUUCUUACUCCCACUAAUUAUUCUCCCAUUAUCUUCUUCCUUUUCCUGUCAAGCACCUUUAUCAAGCCUCUUACCUUUACUUCCAAUGGUAUUGCUUUAUGUCUUUGCACAUGCUGCUGUUUCUGCCUACAAUGAGUUUCUUAUCCUUCCUCGCUGAAUUAACCCUAAUCAAUGCACUUUGACACAUCUUUUCUUUUGGGGGAUUUAAAAAUUUAAAAAUAUUUAAAAACAGAGUUUACUAGGGAAUAACUUGUAAAGUCCAGCUUUAUGACAUCUUAACAUUCUUCCAUAUUUACUUCACAACUUUUCAUUUGAACAAGUCUGUGGACUAAUUUGUUUGUUUUUGGGAGGGUGAGGUGUGAAGUAGGAACUAAAUUGAAAAUAUAAUUUCUGGGGUAGACUACAUGCUGAAUUAUACAAAUAAGUGUUUAAAUUUUAGAUUUACUUUGUUCAGCAAAAUCAUUUUCAUUAACAAUGUUCUACAUAUUUUUUAUCAAUUCCAUUAUUAACACAUUUCAUAAAGCAGUGAUAAUUUCCCACAAGUUUGUUGAUAGGAAAGAGGUAGGGUAAUAGCAUCAUCCCAUGGCAGGACAUUGAAGUUUCUUUCACUACUUCACUUCCCCUAAUACAGUAGACUUUCAUUCAUGAUUUUGAUUUUUUUUUCAACAUAUAAAUUGAUUUUUUUUAAUUUCUUUUUUUGUAGAUACACAUGACAGUAGAGUGUAUUUUGACAUAUUAUACAUACAUGGAGUAUAACUUACUCUAACUAGGAUCUGAUUCUUGUGAUUAUACAUGAUGUGGAGUUACACUGGUCGUGUAUUCAUGUAUGAACAUAGGAAAGUUAUGUCCAAUUCAUUCUGCUGUCUUUCCUAUGCCCAUCCACCUCCCUUCCCUUCAUUCCCAUUUGUCUAAUCCAAUGAACUUCUAUUCUUUCCUCCUCCCAUGGUUUUGAUAUCUGAAAUGUAAACUUACUGUGAUCAGUCUGUCUAAAAUGAUCCAAAGAACCUGCUAAAGUUAAAUCAAUUAUUGUUUUUCCCCUGAAAAGACUGACAUAAUCAAAUGAAAACACAGUAAUACCCCAAGCCCUUUUCAAAUGAGAAGUGUUUGUGUGUCCUACUUUUUUUGGGGGGGGUCAUUGUUGAAAUGUCUACUGGACAAUCAGAUAAUUCUUCUUUGUAGUCCUUCUCUGUUGGCAUUUUGUUCUUUCUCUUUAAGUCUUUUUGUUUAAAGUGCUGAGGGCUCUCUCUUCUUCAGCCCUGUGUGUCUUGUUCUCACUUCACAAUCACACAGCCUCCAAUCAGCCAGAGCACGGUUACAUAACUUAGCCAUCUGAAUGGCCUUUUUUUCUUCAUGCAUCUUUUACUACUUUGUGGGGAAAGUUUUCCAAUAUUUGCAUAUUUAGCUUUACCAGCAUCUUUACUACUUUUCUAAUCUUCUCUCUCAGUAUAGGUUUGCUUCUUGUAUAUGAGGUUAAGCCUCAGCUUGUCACCAGUAUAAGGCAAGGUUGCAAUGAUCAGGAGAAAAAGACAAAAAAGCAAAAAGAUACUUAAAAAAACAGGGAUUGAAUGCAGAUCCACUUAACCACUGAAUAACAUUCCUAGCCCGUUUUACUUUUUAUUUUGAGAAAAGUUCUCACUGAGUUGCUUAGAGCCUCGCUGAGUUGCUGAUACUGGCCUCAAACUUGCAAUUCUCCUGCCUUGGACUCCUGAGUUGCUGGGAUUAUGGGCAUGCUAUAGUGCACCAGGCUUGGAACAUGGCUUAUUUCACUUAGCAUGAUAUUCUCCAGCUCUAUCCAUUUACUGGCAAAUGCCAUAAUUCCAUUCUUCUUUAAGGCUGAGUAAUAUUCCAUUGUGUAUAUAUACCACAUUUUUCUGACAUUUCUGAUAUUUUUUGACAGAAAUUUUCCUGGUUGUCAAGUGAUGAUUCAGCCAUUCAGUUUUUUUCUUUUUAAAAAUUUGUUCUAAUUAGUUACACCUACAGUAGAAUGCACUUUGACACAUCAUAUAUAAAAUGGAGUAUAAUUUCUUAUUCUUCUGAUUGUAAAUGAUAUAGAAUCCACACUGGUUGUGUAGUCAUAUGCGUACAUAGGGUCAUAAUGUCUGAGUCAUUCUACUAUCCUUCCUAUCCUCAUAUCCCUCCCAUUCCUUCACUCCCCUCUACCUAAUCCAAAGUAACUCUACACUUCCCUAGCCAUCCCCCUUAUUGUGAAUUAACAUCCACAUAUUAGAAAAAACAUUUGGCCUUUGGGUUUGGGGGAUUGGCUUAUUUCACUUAGCAUAAUAUUCUCCAGCUCUAUCCAUUUACUGGCAAAUGCCAUAUUCAUUCUUCUUUAAGGCUGAGUAAUAUUCCAUUGUGAAUAUAUACCACAUUUUCUUUAUCCAUUCAUCAGUUGAAGGACAGCUAGUUUGGUUCUAUAGUUUAGCUAUUGUGUGUUAAACUGCUAUAAACAUUGACGUGGCUGUGUCACUGUAGUAUGCUAAUUUUAUAAACCGAGGAAUGGGAUAACUGGAUCAAAUGGUGGUUCCAUUCCAAGUUUUCUGAGGAAUAUCCACACGGCUUUCCGUAGGGGUUGCACCAAUUUGGCAGCAGCUAUUUACCCUGAAGUCUCCGGCUUCAGAACUUGAGUGCUUUUCUCUAAAGUGUAGAAGGGCAAUAUUGGUCUGCUCUCUGGUGGUCAGAGGAGAAAGCACACAAGGGCCUUGUCAGGUCUCAGUUUCUAGAUACAUAGUAAUGAUCAGUGUAGUAGCAACUGUGCCUAGCCCUGCGCCAGGCUCUGGCUGACUACUGCAUGCUCCUUGUCUCAUGAAAUUCUCAUAACAGUCUUGACAUAUGCAUCAUUUUAGCCCAUUUUUCAGGUGAGAAUAUAGGCCUCCCAGAGUUGAAGUGAAUGAGCCAUAGUCACCAAGUGACUGAUAGAUUUCUUUCUCAUAACUGUCUGAGACCAAGCCCAGGCUCAGCAUCUAACCCAUAUGUCUGUUGGAUGACUGCAAACUCCUUAGACAUCUUAACGUCUGAGUAGACCUUCAUUAUCUGUUCUUUUUCUUUCCCAGGAAAAAAUGAUUUUCCCAUAUUUUGACCUGACUCCAAACUGGAUACUUCUCCCAUCUGUGACUUCUGUUCUGAUUAUUAGAUCCUGAUCUUUUGCAUUGUCUCUUAUUCUAUUAGUAAAAUCUAUUAACUGAUCAUUUUAUAAUAUUAUAUUCCUAGAUUUAUACUAUGUAAUAUGUAGUUAUUUAAUACUUAUCCAUCCUUUAAUUUCUGAAAUAAAAACAUACAGAAAUUAUUAGCAUUCUUGAAUAUUUGAUGGAAUUUUCUUGCCGAAUCAUUCAAGUUGGGUAGAUAUUUUAGAAGAUAGAUAUUUUCAUGUGCUCUUUACCCUCCAGCCCCACAUCUCACUUCUGGUGCUACUGGUCUGUUCAGGUCUCCUAAUUCUUCAUGAAUCAGUUUGGGUUAUUUGUUUCCUAUAUAAGUAUCUGUUUAUCUAGAUUUCCAUUUAUGGCACCAAAAUUGUAUGCCAUGUUCUCGUAUAAUUUUUAAAUAUUUUUUUAUAUUGGGAAUUGAACCCCAGGAGCACUUUACCACUGAGCUACAUCCCCAGCUUUGUUUAUUUUUUAAAUUUUAUUUUGAGACGGUCUUGAUAAGUUGUUGAGGCUGACCUUGAACUUUUGAUUUUCCUAUCUUAGCCUCCUGAGUUACUGGUUUUACAGGCGUGCCCCUCUUCUUAAAUAUCCUUUUUGACUAAAUAACCCUUUUGCUGUACAGGUUGCCAUCACUUCUUAUUGUCCACAAUAGACUGACUGGUUUCUCCACAUCCCUCUAACUACCCUUCACUAUGUAUGUGUCUCAUCUUUUGUCAUUCCUUGCUGCUUCCAUCAGUGAGUAAGAGAGAGAUAGGAGACCUUAAUUGACAAACCCCACACAUUACAGAAGGCUGUUGAAGUGGUAAAGCAAUUGUGUUCUUGAAUCCCAGCUUAGAUUUGUGAGACAGAGCCCUGUGUCCACUCUUAGUAUUUGGAGUUGCCAUGUUACUUACAUCCUAGCCCUCCUUGCCUCUGGGAAUGUGUGCAGCUUCCCUUCACUGCCUAGCUGCAUCUGUCCUAUACGUGCUGCCGCCAUAGCUUACUUCUAUUAUUGGAAAAGGAAAUGAGGAUGUGCUAUACAGGUCAUCUUGAGUUCUCAACAAUGCAGAAAAAACUGCAGCACCUGUAAUCAUAUGAGAGUCUGUAGUGCUAUAAACCAACAAUCAUAUGUCAGCUUUCACUAAACGAACCACUAGAGAAACUCCAAGCCAGUACUACUGAGACCUAACAUGAAAGGAGGAAGAUAAAUACAGAGAUAGUAUGCACCUCCCCCCACCACACACGCAUCCUUAGAUGACAGGUGUAAAUCCAGGCCUGUCUGCCUUCCACCAACCAGCUACAAAUUAGACAUUCUCAUGACCCCCUCCUCCAUUUCCAUAAUUUCCUAGUACAGCUCAAAGAACUCAGAAGUGCAUUUGUUGUUACUAGCAUAUUGUGAAAUCUACAGCUCAAGAAUGGUCAAAUGGAAGAGGUGCAUAGGUAAAAUGUAGGGUAGUGGGGUGCAUGGAACUUCCGUGUACUAUCUGGCAGCGCCACCCUCUCAGCAUAUCUCAGUAGAUUCACCAACCUGAAAACCCUCUGAACUCUGUCACAUAGGGAGGGGUUUUAGUGGUUUCAUCUUUAUGAAAGAUGUAAGUUAUUGGCCAUCAACAACUGAUUCGUUCUCCAGUUCCUCCCUCCUUCCUGAAGUUUGGAAGAAUGGGGCUGAAUGUUCCAAACUUCCAGUCAGGCCUUGGUCUUUAUUUUCUUUCUUCUUCUUUUUUUUUUUUUUAAAUUUCUUUUGGUUGUUAUUAUUGGUGGUAGUGGUGGUGGUACUGGGGAUUGAACCCAGAGACACUUUACCACUAAACAGUACCCCUUUUAAUUUUGAGACAGAGUGUCACUAAGUUACUGAGACUGGCCUUGAACUUGUAAUUCUCCUGCUCAGCUUCCCAAGUGGCUGGGAUUACAGGUGUGCACCACCAUGCCUAGAAGGUCUUACACUUUCUGGCAAACAGUCAGCUUCAUUGUUCUGAAGCUAUCUAGAGCCCCACCAAGAGUCACCUCAUUAGAACAAAGAUGCUUCUAUUGCCUUUAUCGUUCAGGAAAUUCUGAGGUUUUGGAGCUCUAUAUCAAGAACCAGGGACAAAGACCAAAUGCCUUUUUAUGUGUUGUACAUCAGUUACAAGAAAUAAGGAAUUAUCCCAGGUACCAAAAAUGAAAAUUAUAAACAACUAAAACUGGAAUUGGGGUUAAAGCAUUGGGAUUUGAAGAUUAAGCAUUGAUUUUUUUGCAAAAAGUAUGAUAAAACUCUUCGAUUAGUCCAGUAUCUUUUAAGGGGACUAGAGUGAUCUCAGAUCAGUAAUCUUCCCUGGAUCCAGGAAGAAGCAAAUGUAAAUCUCCGAUUAAGACCUUCUGGUUUGGAAAGGUUAAAUUCAAUCAACUGUAACUUAUAAGAAGAUGCUAACAAAUGUAUCGUGAACAAAAGUUAGAAGAAAACAAAAACAAUGCAUAAAAUGGAAACAACCUAACUGUCCAUUAGUGGAUGAAUUAAUAAAUAAAUUGUGGUAUAUCCACUCAAGGAAUGAAGAGCUGAUAGAUGGUAAAACUUGGAAGAAACUCAAAAACAUUGUGCUAAGUGAAAAAGUCACAUAGUGUAUGAUUACAUUUAUUUAAAAUAUCCGGAGUAGAUAAAUCCAUAGGGACAGAUAAUAAAUUAUUGGUUUCCAGAGAUUAGGGGGAGGAGAAUGGGGAGUGAUUACUUAAUGAUAUAGAAUUUCCUUUUUGGGUGAUGAAAGUGUUCUAGAACUGGAUAAUGGUGAUGGUUGUACAUCACUGUGAAUGUACUAAAUGCCACAGAAUUGUGCCCCUUAAAGAACUAAAUGGUGUCUUUUAUGUUAUGUGAAUGUUACCACAAUAAAAAAAUGUUCACAGGGCUGGGGAUAUAACUCAGUAGUAAGGAGCACUUGCUUAGUGCUUGAGUCCCUUGGUUUAAUACCCAGAACCAUAAAAAAAAAUUAGAAAAAUAUAUAAGUCCAAAAAUUAUGUUAUGAUAAAAGAUCAUGAAACUAUGUAACAACAAAGUAUGCUAUUACAUAUAAGUAUAAUGUACCAAUAAAAGAAAAAAAGAUCAUGGAAAAACUAUCUCAUUUGUGUAGUUUUUUAAAUGAGAACAGUGAUGUACAACUAUAAUGCCGGUGACUUGGAUCUCAACUUCAAGGCCAGUCUGGGCAACUUAAUAAGAACCUGUCUCCAAAAAGGGCUGGUGGGUGUAGCUCACUGUAGAGCAACCCUGGGUUAAAUCCCCAGUACUGCAAAAUAAAAUCGAGGCAACAUGACAUGUCAGUUGAAAAAGGGUAAUCAAAAAAAGGUAAGCGUUUUAAAGUCCUGUGAGUCCCUGUGUGAGUGCCAUUGGCUCUAAAGUGUGUUUGAAAAAAUAGGACAUUUUUUACAUUGCUGUCCAGUGUGCACCCAUAUGUACAAGACUGAAACAAAAUUUAACAAUACUUGCGGUGUGUGUGUUGUUCAUGCUUUCUACAUUAAUUUCAUUUUCUAAAAAGUUAAUUGUUAUUAAGUCAGUUUUCUAACUCAUGAAUGGAUUGUAACCCACAGCUUGAAAAACACUAGUAUGAAGAUUAUGUGGUAGUACCCAUAUAAAAAGGCGAGCAAGACAAAAAGAAGAAGAAGAAAAGGUCUUAGCAGUUUAAUCUAAUUCUAUGCAGUCAAGUAUAAACAAAUGGUGAAUUGAGGGUACUUUCCAAAAUCUUUUGAAGUGUCAUCUUGUUGCAACAUCGUAAUCUCCACAGGGCAAAAGAAUAUUUUUACCUGUGCACUGGAAAACUCUUGAACAAUAGUGUAUUUUUGUAGUAAUCUGAAUCACCAAGAUAAAUUUAUCUUGAGUUAUUGAAGAGGACGCAGCUAAUGGAAAGCAUUUCAGAUUAAUGCACAUUGUAGUAUAUAGUCUACCCCAGCUUGAAGAAAUCAGAAGAUCUGAGAUGUGGUUUUACCUCUUGCCACCUUGGAUGAAUCUUAUCUCUCUUGGUUUCAGUUACCUCAUCUAUAAAAGAAAAGGGAAUUUUAAGUUCCCUUGCUAAAAAAGCAAUCCAUAACUCACUCUUAAGUCUAAAGAGUCCCAACUUUACACACACAUACACAUUCACAUGCAUAAAUGCAAUGCAUUAAGAUGAAGGAAAUUUGCUGGCUGCAGUGGUUCACACCUUGGUUCAGAGCUUGGGAAACUGAGGCAGGAGGAUCAUGAGUUCAAAGCCAGCUCAGCAACUUAGCAAAGCCCUAAGCAACUUAGUGAGAUCCUGUCUCUAAAUGACAUUUAAAAAGAGCUGGGGAUGAGGCUCAGUGAUUAAGUGUCACUGGGUUCAAUCCCCAGCACCAAAAGAAAAAAAAAGAUGAAAAAAAAAUUCUAUUGGAACAUCCAUUGACAGUACCCUGUUUCAAGUUAAGAAGUGAUGAGUAGGGUGAUUUAUUGAGCCUGUUUCUUAUAUAUCUUCAGACAUAUAAUUUAUUAUUUAUAAGACAGCUUUUUUAUUAGUUGUAGGUUGGGUGUGCUGUAAUUUAGGAACUUUACUAAGUCAAGAAAGGAUAUUUUACUGGUCUGAUCCUGUAUCCUCAAACAUGACCAUAAACACGGAAGCUAAUUGCCUCAUGGCUAAUUACUAUUCCAAUUGCUGCCAGGUACCUCAAGGAACAAUAUUUGGUAAAUUAUGUUUAUACUUGAGAUGUAAAUGUCUGUUUUGCCACUUCAGUUGUUCACUUAACAUUAGCUAUUCACUGUAAUCCAUGCUGUGGAAUGAGAUGUGAGUUAGAGAUUUGGUGUUUUUAGUUCACCAUUGUCUGGGAGGAUUCCUGUGAGAUGAAAGAGUGGAUAAAAAGUCUCUGCUCAAGCCAUACCAAACUAUUUUCAGUUCCCUGAAAGCCUUUUGGUCAUUUUUACUUGUCUUUUUAAAAAAAGUUUUGGUAGAAAAUUUCAAAUAUAUAUACAUAGACUAUUAUAAUAAACUCCACUUACUCAAUGCUCCAACUAUUUUUUUACUUUUUAAAAAAUUUAUUUUUAUUAGAAUACCACACACAUAUAAAUAUGCAGUUUGAUGAAUUAUCACAAUGAACAAAUUCAGAAUACCAAAUCCACAGUACCAAAAAAAGAAAAAAAUAUCUAGUUCCCUGGACUCUUCCCCAUUUCCCAAUACAUCCUGAUCAAGAAAUAAAGUAUUACCAGCAAUCUGGAAGCUGCCUUUUUGCCCUCUUAUUUUUUAAAUAAUUUGGCAUACUUAUACAAACAUGGAGUAUAUUUUAUUUUAAUUAGGACCCCAGUCUUGUGGUUGUGAAAUUCACUGUAGUGUAUUUAUAUGUGUACAUAGGAAAGUUACGUCAGAUUCAUUCACUGUCUUUUCUAUUUCCUGUCCCCCUCCCUUCCCUUCCUUCCCCUUUGUAUAAUCUAUUGAUAAUUGUGUGUGUGUGUGUGUGUGUGUGUGUGUGUUUUGCUGGGGAUUGAACCUAGGGCCUUGCGCAUGCGAGGCAAGCACUCUACCAUCUGAGCUAUGUCCCCAGCCCACUUGCCUAAUCUAUUGGAACUUCUAUUCUUACCUCCCCUUCCCCUUGUUGUGUGUUAGCAUCCACAAAUCAGAACAUUUGACCUUCAGUUUCUUGGGAUUGGCUUAUUUCACUUAGCAUAAUAGUCUCCAGAUCCAUCCAUUUUCAGGCAAAAGUCAUAAAGUCAUUCUUUUUUAUUGCUGAGUAAUAUUCCAUUGUGCAUAUAUCCCACAUUUUCUUUUUCCAUUCAUCUGUUGAAGGAUACCAAGGUUGGUUCCAUAGCUUAGCUAUUGUGAAUUGAGCUGCUAUGAACAUGUGGCUUCCUCACUGUAUACAUUGUUUUUUUAAGUCCUUUGAGUAUAUACCAAGGAAUGGAAUAACUGGAUCACAUGGUGGUUCCAUUCCAAGUUUUCUGAGGAAUCUCCAUAUUGCUUUCCAGUAUGGCUGUACCAAUUUUCAGUCCCACCAACAAUGUAUGAGUGUACCCUUUUCCCCCACAUCCUCACCAACAUUUGUUGUUACUUAUAUUCUUGAUUGUUGCCAUUCUGAUGGGAGUGACAUGAAAUCUCAGUGUAGUUUUAAUUUGCAUUUCUCUAAUUGCUAGAGAUGUUUGACAUUUUUUCGUGUAUUUGCUGACCGUUUGUAUUUCUUCUGUAAAGUAUUUGGUUCCUUUGCCAAAAGUGCUAUACAGAUUCAAUCAAUCCCUAUUAAAAUUCCAAUGAUGUUCUUCAUAGAAAUAGAAAAGGCAAUAAUGAAAUUCAUUUGGAAAAAUAAGAGGCCCAGAAUAGCCAAAACAAUCCUUAGUGAGAAAGCUGGAGGCAUCACAAUACCAGACCUUAAAUUAUACUAUAGAGCUUUAGUAACAAAACAGAUGGUAUUGGUACCAAAUCAGACAUGAAAACCAAGGAACAGAAUAGAAGACACAGAGGCAAACCCAAAUAAAUACAGUAUGUCAUACUAGACAAAGGCCAUAAACAUAUUGGAGAAAAGAUAGCCUCUUCAACAAAUGGUGCUGGGAGAACUGGAAAUCCAUAUAUAGCAGAAUGAAAUCGAAUCCCUGUCUCUCAACCCUGCACAAAAUUCAAAGUGGAUCAAAUUAUACCAGAAACCCUAUAUCUACUAGAAGAAAAUACAGGUCCAACACUCCAUCACAUCAGCUUAAGAACCAAGUUCCUGAACAAGACUCAUAAAGUGCAAGAAGUAAAGUCAAGAAUCAAAUGGGAGGGUUGGAGUCAUGGCUCAGUGGUAGAGCACUUAUCGAGCAUGUGUGAGACACUGGUUCAAUACUCAGCACCACAUAAAAAUAAAUAAAUAAAAUAAAGGUAUUGUGUCCAUCUACAACUAAAAAAAAAAUUUAAAUCAAUAAAUGGUCCCAGAGCCAUAGUGCAUGCCUCUAAUCCCAGCAGCUCAGGAGACUGAGGGCAGGAGGAUCACAAGUUCAAAGCCACCUCAGCAACUUAGUGAGGCCUUAAGCAAUUUAGUGAGACCCUGUCUCUAAAUAAAUAUAUAAAAGGUCUGUGGUGUGGCUCGUGAUUAAGUGCCCCUAGUUUGACCCCCCAUACCAAAAGAAAAAGAAAGAAACAUCAAUAAAUGGGAUAGUAUCAAACUUAAAAGCUUUUUCACAGAAGAGGAAAUAAGAAUGUGAAGAGAAAGCUUACAGAAUGGGAGAAAAUCUUUGCCACCUACACCUCAGAGCACUAAUCUCCAGGAUAUAUGUAGAACAAAAACCUUAACACCAAAAAAACAAAUCAGGCCAGGUACAGUGGUACAGCCUGUAAUCCCAGCAGUUCGGGAAGUUGAGACAGGAGGAUUCCCAGUUCAAUGCCAGCCUCAGCAGAAGCAUGCUAAGUAAUUCAGUGAGACUCUGUCUCUAGAUUUAAAAAAUACAAAAAAAGGGCUGGGUGUGUGGCUCAGGGGUCGAGUACCCCUGAGUUCAAUCCUUAAUACCUCCACCCCCCGGAAAAAAAAAAGCUUCAAUUAUUAUGAGUAUUCUGCCACUCUUAUUUCAUCUGUAUCACCCAGUCCCCAGACACUGUAAAAAGAAUAACAGUUCUUUACUCUAAAAAAGUAAAAUCAAUAAAUGGUCCCCAUAAAUGGUCUUUACUUUUUUAAAGAAUGAUUAUUCUUUUUACAGUUUUUAAGGUAAAUUUUACAUACAUUGAAAUGCGCAAAUCUUAAUUGAAUAAUUUUGACAAUUGGGUAUACCUGCAUACCUACACCCUUACCACAUGUCUCUCUCAUGAGAAAGAAUCCUUCCUUGGGAUUGAUUCCUUAACCCCCUAAAGGCAACUACUGGUUUGCUUUCCCCUUGCGUUAAUUUCACCUAUCCUAGAUGUCCUAUAAGUGGAAACAUACAAUAUAUACUCUUUUAUUUAUGGCUUCUUUUCAGCAUUGUUCCAUUUGUUCAUAUUGUUGCAUAUAUCAACACAGUAAUUCAUUACUUUUUAUUGCUGGGUGCUAAUAUACCACAACUUAUUUACCUGUUCUUUUGUUGAUGAACAUUUGAGUGGUUUUCAGUUUUGGACUAUAUUAGUGAGGCUGCUAUGAACAUUCUUUGCACAAGUCCUUUUGUGAAUAUAUGUUUUCACUUAUCAUGUGUAAUUGCCUGAGACUGUGUUUGCUGGAUCAGAAGGUAAGUGUUUUAACCUUAUAAGAAACUGGCAAACUCUUUGUGAGAAUGAUUUUAUCAUUUUAUACUCCAUCAGCAAUAUGUGUUACUUCUAAUUGUUCCAUAUCCUUACUAACACUUGGUAAUUCAGUCUUAAUUUUUAGCUAUCUAUUGGAUGAAGUAGUAUAUAUAAUAAUUGGGAAAUCACCACUUCAAACACAACUUAGACUCUCUCUAGACUCAAUUAUUUCAUCGACAGAAUAUUGCAAUAAAACUUAGAGGUUAAAGGAAAUAGGUAGUGUAAUUGAAGGGACUUUGUAAAACAUGAAGGCCAGACUGACAAAAACUGAGGUACCAGAUGUUCCAUGUACUACAAGAUGCCAUAGGUGGGAAACAGAUGUGCUGGAAAAUAAAACACAUUACUUAACAUUUCCUUGUUGUCAUAUUGUUUUCCUUCUUGAAAGUUAAGUAUAAAAAGACAAAUUCAGGUAAUUAAUUAACUGGAACCUCACUGAUCAAGACUUCUAAUCACUCAUUCCAAUUACCUAUUGGGCAACCAAUAAAUAUGAAGUUAGAUGAUGCAGUAUGUAUAGUUACACAGUAUGUGAAUGCAGCUCUUAUUGUCCUUUUAAAGAAAGUAUCAUUUCUUUAUAGAGAAAAUCAUGUAUCUUCAGGCAUGAUCUUCUUCUGUUCUACUAUUCAAGCAAUGCUGCCAGAGCUCCCAGUCACCCAGGCUACUUCCAAUGGCUGUGAUUUUCAUAAUUUGACUAAGUAAUUACAUGUAUUAACCAUCAACUGAAACCAUAGCAACCAUAUAAGGAGAUUUUAUUUGAAGCAAAAAUACUGUGCUACUUUUAGACUUUUUUUUUUUAAAUGGCAUUCACUAGUGCCUUCUUAUCCUAUUUUCUUUAUCAAGGAAUCCUUCCAGUGAAGUCAAGAGGUAAGAAAAUCAGCUUUAAUGUUACAUGUGAAUUAGUUUUUGAGAAAUGACAAUGAAAAAUGUCUAGCUUGAGCUGAAUGCGGUGGUGCAUGCCCAAAACUCAAGAGACACUGGCAAAAGGAUCUCAGGUUUGAGGCUAGCCUCAGCAACUUAAGCCCAUCUCAAAAAAUGAAAAGAACUGGGGAUGUUGCUCAGUGGCAAAGCAUCCCUGGGUUCAAUCCACAGUACCAAAAAAAGAAAAAAAAUAUCUAGUUCCCUGGACUCUGCCCCAUUUCCCAAUUUAGACUUACAAAUAAGUCUUGUUGGUGAUUCAGUUUGGUGUUUAAAGAGAUCCAAAAAGCUUGUAAGACUGGUAUUCAAGUGAGAUUGAGACACCCAUAAAAAUUUAAAAACAAACACAACAACAAAAACCAGUGCUAUGUGGACUUUGUGCCUGAAGGACAGUAAGCCAUUUCCUUUUGAGGAGAUAAUCCUUAUGGCUCUCAGCCUGUAAAGAAAUAGGAUAAUAUAGGAUGAUCAAAAUUUACAGCAUAAGAGAGCUAUUAUUUACAUGGAAUAUAGACACUACAUUCUCAAUGAUGAAAAAGCAUUGCAUUUUCUUGCUGGAUGUGUUCCCUAAAGCUUCUCUCCUGACCGGUUCCUGAUGUCUUCUGAGAAACAAAUUUUUCUCAGACCUCCAUCAGCCUAAACUUCAAUGCUUGCCUGGGGAUUUAGGAGGUGCAUGCAAGGACCUUGUGUGGAAAGAAAGUAAGAUUAUAGUUUGUGCUUUCCAUAUCUAGCCACCUUCAGUUGCCAGUCUUUUGGAUUUCUGCUAGUAAGAGGGAGUUUUAAUAGUGCGUUUGCAAUGAAUCAUGCCUCUGAAGUAGAUACAUUUAGUGACCCAUACAUAUCUCCCCCACACUAAGGUUCUUAAUCAAGCCAAUAGCCCUCUACUGCAAAUGCUUGCUUCCCUUAGCUUGAGAGCACUCUCUGACCACAGGAGCAUUCUAGGUGCCAGAAAGGUUGGAAGUAUCCAGGAAUUAAAAUCUCUGAAAAUAGCUGGGCAUGGUGGUACACACUUGUAGUCCCAGUGACUCAGAAGGCUGAGGCAGAAUGGCAAGUUCAAGGCCAGCUUGGGAACUUUAGCAAGGCUUUCUCAAAAUAAAAAAGGCUGGAGGUGUGGCUCAGUGGUUAAGCACACUGGGUUCAAUUGUCAGUAUCAAACAAAAACAAAACCCCCAAACCUCUGGAAACAGUCCUCCAACUAAUGUAGAGUGGGAGUAAAUCUAAAUUCUCCAGCUUUCUCAUCCUUUGGGUAGGAUAAAUGAAGCAUAUUCUAUGCUACCUUCUAGAGUUGCCCAGUACAAAUGAGCUCCAGUUCCCACAGGAGUAACCUACUCAGUCUCAUCCCUCACCUCACCAAGGCGUCCUCAGCAUCUGGUGCCACAGUGUUGUCUCAUGAUGGAAAUUCUUGAGGUCAACAUAGUGCCAUGCUUCUACUGGACCUGUUACAGAUUUUUAAAUUUUCCAUUCUUUUUACGACUCAGUUCAAAAUCAAAGACAUGUAAAUUCUCCAGAACCAAUUUCCUUGUAAACAUAAUAUCUGUCUUGCUGUGCCCCCUCUUGCAUGCAUGCUUUCUUACCUGAGGAAACCUGGGCAAGUAAUGAAUAUCUAUCCUGGUUUUUCUUUGAAUCUUUGUAAAUCCAUCCUCUAUGCUUCCCUGCUAUGUUGUUUGUCUUGGGAGCCUGACCUCUAUGGAAUAUGUCACUCAGGUUCCUUACCCUAUGGCCAAUGGAAGGAAAGAAAGAAAUCAGGAUAUUUAUUCUUUUCCACGCACUCUGCCUCACUGAUUUUGACAAUGACCUCAUCACCAAAACUACAGCUAUGCUACAGUUGGGCUGCCAUUUUUGCAUGCAGCCCCUCGAUACAUAGACACUAUAUUUUAUUGUAUUAGAAGAAUUAAUAUGCUAGGAAACAACUUAUGCCAAUUUGAGAAAUGUAUUAGCUGACUAUCCAUCUGAAUGCACCCCUCUUAACCAAACUCUGUUAACAGUUUUCUCUUCCUCCUCUUCAGGCUUGGGGAUCCUAAGAGCACCUUGUUGUUCCUCUCUGGUAGCAAGCAUCCCUACUAGGUUCUCUAUUUAACCCACAGCUCUAAAUACUUCCUUUAUGAAAAAGCCUCUACCCAACUAAGUUGAGUAUACUCUCUUUCUUGCUAAGCCCCUGGCUGAUGUAGCCUCCUGCCUUGGAGUUCUCAGCAGUUCAGGGAUAGAUAGAGGAUCAAAAUCAGAUUCCUCUGAGCUGUGCAUGUAAAGGUAUCACAGUUCUUUCUGUGCAUUCCCAACUCAGACGGAAGUGUGGUGUCAGAAAUUGAAAAACAGGUAUGGUGGCACAUGCCUGUAAUCCCAGCAGUUUGGGGCUGAGGAAGGAGGAUCAAAAGUUCCAGGCCAGCAACAGCAACUUAGUAAGGCCCUAAGCAAUUUAGACCCUGUCUUAAAAUAAAAAAAGGCUAGAGAUGUAGUCUGGUGGGUAAAGUGGCUCUAGGUUCAGUCCCCGGUAUCAAAAGAAAUAAAAAAAAGAAAGAAACAUUUGUCUGAAGCACACUAUACCACUGGAGCUAGACACAGGAAAAUAUAUUUGCAUUUUUUAGGGUCUGUAUGUGACUUCACCCACCUUACACUAGACGGGUCGAGAUGGUGGAGAUGACAGAUGUAAAACAGGAUGGGCCCAACCACUGCGGCACAUUUCAAGGCCCUGUUUGUGUCACUUCUGCCAAAGCAAGUUCCAUGGUCAACCCCCCAAAAGUGAAGUGGUGGGAGAAAUACACUUCCCCCGUAGAAUUGCAAGAGGGAAAGUUAGUAUUUUUUACAAUAAUAUACAGAUAAAAUAAGCAACAGAAAGAAAGGUAAUUUGAGGAUAGACCAAAGUUUGUUCAAUUUUAUUUCAAUCUUCACGAGUGAACCAGAUUGACUUUGAAAAAUAUCAGGUUAAAUUUCUGAGAUUCCAGAAACACAACUACAUCCCCAGUCCUUUAUAGAUAGGUGAUAUUGUCAUACAAAUAACAGCAUUUUAAAGUUUCAGGUAUUAGGCAAAUGUUAUUAUGAAGAUUCCAUUUUCUGUUCAUAUUAAACCAUGAUUGCCACACUUUGGGACCUGAAUAUAUAGCCUUGUCCAUUUUUUAUUUCCCAUCAGAUUUCAGAUUCUAUAAGAAUUAAUUUGAUGCUGAAUCUUGAGGUGAGACUCAGCACAUUCCAAUGAAUAUGCCCAUUGGAGAUUCCUCAACCCAGAUAUCCAAAAAGUGGUCAAAGGAUCUGAAACUAAUACUCCCUUCUCUGUACAGCAUUUUCCUCAUCAGAAAUUUAUAUGAGGCUUAACUGGGGCUUAUUCAAGAGCCCCUCAAUUAGGAAUGGUUUCAAGUUGAAGAUCCCAAGAGUUUUCAACACCUUAGGAUCCCCCAAUGCUUUCUCUCCCUAAGGAAGAUAGAAAAGUGUUUCCCUAGCAUAGGGAUUCAAGAGGAGCAAAAAGCCCUUGGUUAUCUCAGUCAUAAUCCUAGGCAGCAAAGGAAAUAGCUCAAAGAUCAACAAGAAACCUCAAUAAUGCUACUAGCACACUGUGUGAACCAAAGAGUGUCCAUAAAUAAUGGAUGAUUUCAAUAGAAGCAUUAGCUUGAGUUUCUACCUCAUGAAUAGCAGUAUAGAAAUUCAUAGCAGUGACGAACUGUAAAGAUCAGCUGGUACUAGGAUUGAAAUUUAAGAAUAUAUUGCUUUGGCUAGAUUAAGAAAAAGAGAAAUGCACUAGGAGAUACAAAGUGUGAGAAAUGUUUUGAAGUUGGGAAUGAAUAUGAAUGUUCAGGGGAUAGUGAGAAGAUCUCCUUGACCAAAAUGGGGAAAGGGUCAGAAAUUAGGUGGGAUAGAAAUGAUGAUGCCAUAUUAUGAGGACAUUAAUAGCUAAGAAAUUUAAAUGUUGUGUGGUGGAUGUUAGAAGCCAUUGGAAUUCCUGAGUGGGGAGAUUAUUUAGUGCAAACAUCUGCAGUUGUCAUAAUAGUCUAGCUUUCAUUGUGACUCUAGGCCAGCUUUUGACUUGGAGAUAGUAAUGAUCAUGGUGUAUUAAAGGGGAUUAUUCAUGUGUAUUUUGUCUUCUUUACAAAUUUGAUUUUAGCCUGAAUCAUAGAGAGAGUGUGUUGUCUUUUCCCAUAGUUUCUGUUGGCAGCAGCUGCAUGUUCUCAUGGGAACAUACACCACUUACCUACUCAAACCUUCCUUUUAUAUUUUUACCCUCAGCUUCUCUUCACUGGAAUUUCAUCUUUUCUGUGGAACAUAUUUACAUAUAAGCUUAGAGCAGCUGUUUUUUUUUUUCCUGUAACUAAGGGUCAUUCUGAAUAUUUCUAAAUACAUAAAACUCCAGGUAUAACUCUAAGUAAAACAUGAUGAAAGGAGGCAUUUUGACAACCCCUGGAAUGAUAACAUCAGAUUGAACACCAUCUGGCAUAAAAACUUUAGCUUUCUGCAGUGACCAAAUGAAGGACCAUGGCUCAGUGGGCUUUUUCAGUGAUUAAUACCAGAAAGCCUUUGCUGAGCUCUAAUUCCAAAUAAGAAGUUUCUGUCCAUCCCACCCCGCUCCUGCCAUGUACUCACAGAGCUUGUGAUCCUGGGGGAACCGUCUUCAUCUGUAGGAAAGAAGUUCUUCCCUGACCAUAAUGGCAAAGCCAAGAACGUCCAUAAUUCCGCCCUGAACUCUUUGCUCAUGUAAGACAUACUAACUUUCAUGGCACUUUGUUCCUUUGCCAAAUUCUAAGAGUUUGAACUCUAAAAUAGAUAGAGUUAAAUCAUAGUAGUUGUAUACUUUGGGAAAAGUUUGAAUGUUAUGUAGAUUUACCAAGUUUUGCUUUCCUUAAUUGAUAUGAACAUUAUUUGUUGAGCUAGGUUCUAGAAAGUACUAGUGAUUCAGAUAUGAAUAAAUCAUGCUGCUUCCUCUGGAGUGUUGCAAGUAAGAAAUGAAAAAAAGUAAGCUAUAAUAGAAUUUAAUAAGCCAUUAAGUGGAGGUGUUCAGUUCUGUGAGCACAUGAAAGGAACCAUAAUUAAUUUUGCUAUUUCAGAACAAAGCAGAAGACAUUUGGGCAAGUUUUAAAGGAUAAGCAGGGACUCCUUAAGUGAGGUUAGGAACUUAAGGCAAAGAACAGAAUAAAUAAAAGCAUCAAAUGAAUAAAGCAUCAAAGUGCAAUGCUGGUCAUCUCUUCUCAUUCCAGAUGAAACAAGACAGGCCUUCAAGAAUGCAGAAUCGGGGAGGUCCUCCUCCAGACAGACUGCUCAGCACAGACCUGCUGCUAGCUAAAGCUUCAGGACCACAGGACCAGGAUGAUUAAACCAGAACGUUAUGACUUCCUGGAGAACAAAAUAUUUGUAAACACUUUUAUGGAAAUGGGCCAAUGGGCUCAAAAUAGCCUCAGACUAUCCGGAUAUGUGGUUUCUGGAAGAGGAGCCAUAUUCUUCUAGAGGGUCUAAAGGAAAUGUCCCAAAGUUGAGAAACUUUGGUGGUCCCUGUCUCUUUCCCUGUCCCCAAGAAACGCUUCCUUGUCUUUUCCCCAACCAUUCACUUUUACUUUACUGAAAUAUGAGUUCACUACCUUUGUCAAUUUCCUGUGGCUACCAUAACAAGUUACCACAAAGCUGGUGGCUUACAACAACAAAUAAUUUUUCUCUUAUAGUUCCAUAUGACAGAAGUCUAAAACCAAGGUGUCAGCAGGGUUGGUUUCCUCUGGAGAGUUUGAGAGAGGCUCUGUCUCAUGCCUCUCUCUAGCUUCUGGUGGUUGCCAAUAAUUUUUGGCACUUGCAGGUAUAGUACUCCAGUCUCUGCCUCCAUCUUCACAUCAUCCUUCAUUUCUGUGUCUCCAUGUGUAUCUAAUCUCCCUCUAUCCUACUUACAUCUCCAAAGAUCUUGCUUCCAAAUAAUAAUAAUAGCCAGGCAUGGUGGAGCACACUUGUAAUCCCAGUGAUCUAAAGGCUGAGGCAGAAUAAUCCCAAGUUCAAGGCCAGCCUUAGCAAUUAUCAAGACCCUCGGCAAUUUACCAAGAUCCUGCCUCAAAAUAAAAUUUUUAAAAAAGGACUGGCAAUGUAGCUCAGUGGUAAAGCACCCCUGGCUUCAGCCCCAGUACCACAAAACAAAUAAGUUGAUAGUAACAGGUUCUGGGACUUAGGAGUUGGAAAGGUUUUCUGGGAAGACACGAUCAACCCACUGUGUACCACUCCUGCACACAUCCUAUAGCUUACAUUCAAUGCCUGUACCCAAGCAGCUGAACAUAGCUAGAGAAAGACCCAAACGUGCAACUGCUCUUACUUUAAAUUUAUGGCCACUAACCUCCAAUGAGCCUUUGGUGCUUCUUGAUCUUUCUCCAGUUCCCUCUUCAAUUUUCAAUUUCUGGAUGAUUAGUUCAUACCUUCUCCUCUCUCCUCAGUUCUCUAACAGCUUUUCCUCCUCAGUCACCAAGUAUCAGCUGACUUCUUUGGUUCUGUCCAACUUGGAACCUCUUAGAAGAGUGCUGCUGAACAUUUCACCACCUGUCUGUAUUCUGUGACCAAACCCUCUUCCUCCUCUGUUACUGUUGACGAACAGUCUUGUGUUCCUAAGGAAGUUGCCUUCUAUUGUAGCAAGAUCUCAUUCCCUUUGCUCUUUCCCCUUCAUCAUGGUUUUUGUUUGUUUGUUUCUUGUUUUGCUUUGUUUUUGGUACUGGGGAUUGAACUCAGGGGAACUUGACCACUGAGCCACAACCCAGCCCAUUUUUAUAUUUUAUUUUAUUUUUAUUUUAAAUAUUUAUUUAUUUUGGUACUAGGGACUGAACUCAGGGGCACUCGGCCACUGAGCCUCAACCCCAGUCUUAUUUUUUGUUUUAUUUAGAGACAGGGUCUCACUGAGUUGCCUAGUGCCUUUCACUGAGGCUGGCUUUGAACUUUCCAUCCUCCUGCCUCAGCCUCCUGAAUCAGUGGAAGUAUAAGUGUACGCCAUUAUGCACAGCUCAUCAUGGUUUUCCCUCUCUUAACUGGAUGGAUCCCAUCAACAUAAAACCAUGCUGCAACAUAUCUUAUCUUAAACAAGCACAUAUGUAAAGCCUCUCAUUUAGCCCCUAUGCCCCCUCCAACUGCCUUUCUGCUGCUCUACAAAACUAUUUAAAAGAGUUGUCUAUAUAGGUUGUCUCCAUUUUUUCUUCUCUAUUAAAUUUAUUCCCUAUUCUGAACCUCGCCUCCAAAAAUCCUCCUGUCAAGGUCACUAGUAGCCUUCAAGUUGCAAAAUCCAUUGGUCAAUCCUCAGUCUUCACCUUACUUGACCACUCUGCAGCAUUUGACAUGGUUGAUCUCCCUGCUUGGAGCACUUUCUUACCUUAGAUUCCAGGACUCCACUCUCUCUUUAUCACUGGCCUCUUUUCAGUCCCCUUUGCUGGUUUCUUCUAUCUCUUUGACCUCUAAGUAUUGGACUACUCUAGAGCUUUGGUGACAGACACCUUCGCUCUCUGAUUUCACUCAUUCUUAGGGUGAUAUCAGAUAGUCUCAUGCUUGGGUUCCUCACCCAUGUCCCCUCAAGACUUGGCUCUACAUUCACAGGCUGUCUACUGGGAACACUUUUAUUCUCUGCCUGGGGACCUUUUAUUACCCAGGAAGCCCUGGACUCUUGCAAAGAAGCUGAAAGGGCUAGAGAGUUAAUGCCUUCAGAGAAACCUUCAGCCAAAGAUGAAUGCAGUCUGGUGGGUAAUUAUCCUGGCUUUCUGGUCCCUUAGUUAGGAUAACUUUGAGGCCUGUUCUAUAUUCUCUCUUAGAAUCCCACAAUUGGGGGGAAAAAAAGAAGAGGAAGAAGAAGAUGAAUCCCACAAUGAAGCUGUUGUGGGAUUAUAGCCACUGUAAGGUAAUCUGCAGGGGUAACUUACUUCCAAUGUACCAAUUACUGACUUCCUUCUUUUUCUGUCUCACUUCUCUAAUUUUCCACCGGUAUUUCUUAGACUCUUCCCCCAGAUAAACUGCUGACACUCCAAGUUUUGUCAGGAUCUAGUUCCAGGGGAACUCAAACUAAGACAAAUACUAUUUAUAUGCUAAUGAUUCUCAUGUUUUUAUCCAGCCCCAAAGUCUCCCAAAUUACAGAAUUUUAUAUUGCUUAUUAAGGUGCCAGAAAUGCUUCUAAAUGCUUUACAAUUAAGUUACUUAUCUAGGCAUGGUAAUAUAUGCCUAUAAUCCCAGCAAAUCUGAGGCAGAAGGAUCACAAGUUUGAGGCCAGCCUGGGCAAAAUAGGUCAGCCUGUUUCAAAAUAAAAAUACAAAGAGCUGGGGAUAUAGUUCAGUAGUAGAGAAACCCUGGGUUCAAUCCCUAGUAGCACAAAAUAAAGAAAGAAAUAUUGGGUUAUUCAGUCCUAUAAUGUGAGUUUCAUUAUCAUCCACAUUUUACUGAUAUAAAACCUGAGAUACAGAUUUUGUUGAAGCAAGUUGCCCAUGUUGAUACAGCCAGUAUGUGGAAGAGCCAGGAUUCAAGUCUAGGACUUGUAUUUUGAAACACAGUGCUAUGCUGUCUCUAUGAAAAGGGAUACAUUUGAGAAAUCAUUUGGGGGUGGGAAAAAGAGGGAUGGAGAGGGACAGUGCAUCUCAGUUAUUGAUAAAUAUAGUAUCUUCAAAGAGCCAUCCUACAGUAGACUUAUUUUCAUUUUGGUGGACAUCUAGACUGGAAGAUAAGAGUAAAUGCAGCAUAAAUUGUGUGUGUAGACUUAGAUAAGGCAGUUGGCAAGAUCCCUCAUUAGAAAAUAUCUAAUAAUGUGAACUGGAUUCUAGAUCAAUUAAGUAAAUUCAUACCCAGUUGAAGAGCUGUAUCCAAAGAGUGCUGAUUAAUGAAUUUCUUUCAACCUGUUAAGAGGCUUCUUGUGGUAAAUCAAAGGGCUUUGGGCUGCCCCCUGUCCUAUUUAAACAUUUUAGCAAUGUCUCCAAUAAAGGACAUCAUUGGGAAACCUGUCUAAUCUGAGGAAGAUACGUGGAAUGAAACAGCAUUGUUAAUGUGCUACAGACUAAAACGGAGGAAAUGAAUCUUACAGAUGGAAUUUGCUGGGUAUGAGAAGUCCUUUACUCAGUUCUAUUAAAAAAAUCACACAGGGGAAAAAAAGGCUUAGGAGUUUCCUUUGGGUAGAAGUUAAAUAUGAGUCAACAGCAAGUUGUGGCCACUAAACUCAACAAAACAAAACAACACCCUAAGUAAAUCAGAAAUGUAGCAUGCAGGCCAAAUUGAAGGGCCCCUUCUGUUUUUCCUUACUUAGUCAGCCACACCUGGGCAACUCUUUGAAUUAUUAUGUCACAGAGGAACAGCCACAAACCAUAGUAUCCAGAAGGGGACAGAAAUGGGUAGAAGUGAAACGAUCUCAUAGAGAGAAUGUCUGCAGGAAUAGGGAAAGAAAUUGAUCAGGGGAUAUAAUAUGUCAUCAGGGAGGUGAUGGUCAAGGAGGAAAUUUAUAGGAUAGAAAUUACUUACUCUGUGUCAGUCAUUCCCAUCUGUAGGAAAAGGGCAGAGAGAAAACUUAAUAUUGAAUAUCUGCUCUUCCUGGAAGUGAUGGUCACUUUAUGUUUGUUGUAUGUUGCAUCUUAUACCAACUCUCUGAGACAGUUAUUAUGUGUUUUCAACACCUUAGUAGCCCUCUAAUAACUUUCUUUUGAUUAUCAAGUGAGGAAAAACACAUGCUUAUUAAUGUCAACACAGUGUUUUGAUAUUGGAUCCUGGUAAUCAACUUCAGAGGGAAAGGACUCUUUCCACCCAGGGUCUGACACAGAGGUGUACAGUUCACUUCCUGUAUCCAGAUCAGAUCAGACAGAAAUGGGGCAAUGAGUGGGCACAAGGGAGGAAGAACCUAUUUGGAUACUACCAAAUCCAGAAGGGAUGGCUCAGUAACAGGCUUCUACCUGCUUCCAACUCAGCUAUUGCUGACUGGUAAACAGAACAAAAACUUAAACUGGUGUGAUAGCAUGUGCCUAUAAUCCUAGAUACUUAGGAGGCUGAGGCAGGAGGAUAACAAAUUUGAGGCCAGCCUCAAACUUAGCAAGACCCUAUCUCAAAAUAAAAUAAAAUAAAAAGGACUUGGAAUGUAGCUCAGUGGUUAAGGACUCCUGAGUUCAAUUCUCAGUACAAAAAAAAAGAAAGAAAGAAAAGAAAAGAAAAAGAAAAUAAUGUACCAAUGGAAUCUAAAUCCUGGUGUCCAAGACUCUCCAGCUAUAGGCUAAAGAGGUUUUACAGGGUUUUUGUUUGUUUGUUUUGGUACCAGAGAAUGAACCCAGGGGCACUUAACCACUGAGCCACAUCCCCAGCCCUUCUUUGUAUUUUAUUUAGACAUGACCUCAUUGAGUCACUUAGGGCCUCACCAAGUUUCUGAGCAUAGUUUUGAAUUUGCAAUCUUCCUGCCUCAGCCUCCUGAGCCACUGGGAUCAUGCACAUGGGCCACCAUGUCCAGCUCUGAUUUUACAGGUUUUGUUUUCCAUUCCAUUCCAUUCCAUUUGUAAUAGGCUCUUGUUUCAUCUAAAUUGGAUUCUCAUUCCCAGUAUCUUACUGCCAUGCCUUUUCCCAUUGCUCUCUCUACUUGGAGAGUCUUCUUUCUCCAUACCUUUAGUCAUUCCUUUUUGGGGGAAGGGUGCUGGGGAUUGAACUCAGAGCCUUUGUGCAUGCACAGCAAGCACUCUACCAACUGAGCUACAUCCCCAUCUUUUCUCCAUAUCUUUAAAAAUCAUAUUCAGCUUGCUUAGAUAUCAUCUCCCUCAUGAAACCUCCUUUGAUCAGUAAACCCACCCCCACAGAUUCUUUUCCUUCCAUGAGCCCCAUAGUAUAUAACUAAAACUUUUGUAUAGCAAAUGUUAUUAUUUCCCAAGUCUCUGACACCAGUUCACAAAUUAUGGUGUACAGAUUGAACAUUUUGUUCUCUGUGUUUAUAAGGACAGAUUCCUGGUGGUUACACAUUGCACAAUGGCUUAUUUUAACCCAUUUCCUAAAUGGAAAAAACAAGUUGAAGCUUUGGGAGGCAGUCACAUCAUUCUGUUCUGCAACACUUGAGCAUCUAGUUAUUUGAAGUAUCUGUGAUUGUUAGUGUACAGUGAGAGAAGAGCCUAUUUCUCUUCCACUACUGCUUUCAGAGGUGCUGAUGUCAGCCAGGUGCUGUGGCCCAUGCCUGUAAUUCUAGUGACUCAGGAGGCUGAGGCAAGAGGACCACAGAUGUGAGGCCAGCCUCACCAACUUAGCAAGACCCUGUCUCAAAAUAAAGAAUAACAGGAGCUGGGGAUGUAGUAGAGUACCCUGUAUCCAUUUUCCAGUACCAAAAACAAUACUAUUGUCUCUCCUUACUCUCUGCCUUGGAUCUACCAUGGGUAAAUCAAUGGCUUUUCAGUCACAUUUCUUUCUCUUUUAGGUAUUCGAACAGUCUGAUUUUUUAGGUACUAAAAUCCACUUUCCAGUUUAAAACUUUAAAUGUAAUACAUUUCAAAGUGCUCCCGUUCCCUGAAUCUAGAACUGACAUGGGGUAAAGAACUUAGCAGAGGAGGGUGUGUGGUCUUUCCUUCACUCUCCUGCUCUUUGCUUUCUCCUUCCCAGCUCGUCCUGCCGAGGACGUCUGUGGUCAUUCCUGGUACACUGCUGGAGUAUCUCCUUGGAAGUUUGGAAGAAAUUAGGCCUACAGUAAGUGAUGUGAAGAUGCUAGAAAUUCUUUGACAGGGAUAGGAGUCAAGAGGCUUAGAGAGGUAGGCGUGUUAGAACUGAUUUACUAUGCAACUCCAAAGAACUACCGUGUGAUGACGUUUCCCAGGAAGACGCAGAGGACCUUUUAUUCAUUCUUUCAUAAGGAAUGCAUCCAUGAGGAGGCAACGGCUUCUGAAGAUACUCAGGGUUGUCUGUCCCAUGGAGGCCAGUUUUUUAUUCAUUUAAUAUAUUUAUUUAUUGGUACUAGGGAUCGAACCCAGGAACUUUUUAC
rnacentral:lncRNA from 1 species